GAGGUCCCGACUGGGGGAGGACCAGCAGCAGCUCCGGAUGGUCUGGCUUCAUCAUCGGACACCUCGUUCAGGAAGUCGAGAUCUAAUUCGGGAAACCUCCCAGCCACCUUCUUUUGGCAGAGUUCGAAACCCUUGAUGAGGGCAUCCUGAGCGAACUGGACCUUUAGAUCCUCCAUCUUGGAGGAGGCCUUAAGCUCCUCCACUGCUCGGACCCCGGCCUCCA
rnacentral:lncRNA from 1 species